rnacentral:rRNA from 1 species
GUAGUCUCGCACAGAUGCAUAUCAAUAAGCGGAGGAAAAGAAACUAACAAGGAUUCCCCUAGUAACGGCGAGUGAAGCGGGAAGAGCUCAAAUUUGAAAUCUUAAAGGGUUUCCCUUUACGAAUUGUAGUUUAAAGAAGUGUUUUCUGUUGAGGUUUUGGUAAAAGUUCUUUGGAAUAGGACAUCAUAGAGGGUGAGAAUCCCGUAUUUGACCUUUACUUUCAACUUUGUGAUACACUUUCAAAGAGUCGGAUUGUUUGGGAAUGCAGUCCAAAAUGGGUGGUAAAUUUCAUCUAAAGCUAAAUAUUGGCGAGAGACCGAUAGCGAACAAGUACCGUGAGGGAAAGAUGAAAAGAACUUUGAAAAGAGAGUUAAACAGUACGUGAAAUUGUCAAAAGGGAAGCGUUUGACAUCCAGUGUUGUUUUUCUGAAAAUCAAUUAAAGAACUGUUUAUGCUAAGCUGUUUAGACUUUAUCAGCUAACUGUUUAGUUUUGAGCUUUUCUUUAAUGCACUUUUCAGUUAACAAGUCAACAUCAAUUUCUUUUGCUGUAAAAAAGCUUGAGGAAGGUGGCUUGAGAUUCGUCUUAAGUGUUUAUAGCCUCUUGCCUAUGCAGUCGGAGAGAUUGAGGUCUGCAGCGUAGAUCCUUCGGGGCUAAAUGCAUUUGUGCUAAGUUAUAGCAUUUUAUAGACAACUUGUUGACUAUGAUUUGUCUUGUAGCUUACUCGCUUAUGUUAUUUUACCUACGCUUAGGAUGUUGACGCAUGAGAUAUACGC